rnacentral:snRNA from 1 species
GAUUAUUAUUGUGCUCACACUAAAAAAUUGGAAUGAAUCACAGAAGAUUAGCAUGACCCCUGAACAAGGAUGGCAUGUGAAUUUGUGAAGCUUUCCAUGUUAUA